rnacentral:lncRNA from 1 species
AGUACGUUGGACCCGGCUCCGCCCUACCCCACGGGGCCGCCUGGAGAGGUGCUGGGAGCUGGGUGGAGCUUAGAGGAAUUAAACUUUGGCCCUGCGCCUCGUCCAGCCUAGGUUCCACCCUUUUCUGGGAACUUUACACCCCGCCACUCCUGAGCACCGCACACCGGCUUCCUCCCAGUCCCUCAUCUGAGAACUCAUGAAGCCACUUGGAAUCCCUCUCUGCUUUGCCUGGCUCAUUCCAUGUCAAUUUCAGAUCUUCACUUCAGGUCAGCUCCAAGGAGGCUAUCCUUGCCCAUCUUCCUAAAAUAGAGCUCUCAAAACCUGGCUGUUUUCCUUCAGAGCACUGGCCUCCAAUUGUGCCACCAUCCAAGUGAGGAUUUCACUGUUCACAGGCAUUUGAGACACACCAGCGGCCGGCGGUUCUCACUGCUCUUCAUAUGGAGGCAACCAUAUAUGGGUGCAGAAGGAAAACUAAGCUCAUCACAGACUUACAAAAAGCCGGGUUUAAAAGAAAUCUUCGAAAUUAUCAUCUCGUUUCACGUUAAUUAACUGAGCCCGCGGUCACAAAGCUUCGCAACGGCAAAGCCAAAAGCAAGAUUCAUGCCUUUCAACUUUCUCACUACCCAAGUAGCACCGCAAGCCGAAUCCGCAGGGCAGUGCCAACAUUGUUUGCUACUCUUGCGCAGAACAAAAAUGCUAAUCACUGCAACUGCUUUACAUGAAAGUGCACCUAGAAAGACUUCAAAACCCAGAGGUACAUUAACUUUCCAGGCAAGUUCCUCCCAGCCUGUGUGCCACGAGCGAUUCCGAAUGUGGUGUGCCCUCUCCCACAGUGCGAAGCUCGCGGGCGCUCAGGCUGCCGUUUGAAUGAACGCACGAGUGGGAGGGACGCACAAGCAGGGUUGCAAGCCCGGGGCUCGUUAGCAGACGCGG